AACGAACGCUGGCGGCGCGUCUUAAGCAUGCAAGUCGAACGGCAAGACUUGGUGCUUGCACCGAUCCUAGAGUGGCGGACUGGUGAGUAACGCGUGGGUGAUGUACCCUAAGGAUGGGGAUAGCUGGUAGAAAUAUCAGAUAAUACCGAAUAUCCUUAUUGUUGUUAGAGGACAGUAAGGAAAGGAGCUUUGGCUUCGCCUAAGGAUCGGCCCGCGUACUAUUAGCUAGUUGGUGAGGUAACGGCUCACCAAGGCGACGAUAGUUAUCCGGCCUAAGAGGGUGAACGGACACAUUGGGACUGAGAUACGGCCCAGACUCCUACGGGAGGCAGCAGCUAAGAAUAUUCCGCAAUGGAGGAAACUCUGACGGAGCGACGCCGCGUGGAUGAUGAAGGCCGGAAGGUUAGGUAAAAUACCUUUUUAAGGCUAAGAAGAAUAAACUUU
rnacentral:rRNA from 1 species